rnacentral:rRNA from 3 species
CUUUUAUGGAGAGUUUGAUCCUGGCUCAGGACGAACGCUGGCGGCGUGCCUAAUACAUGCAA